UGGUUGUUGAGCAUGACGAGGACAAGAGAGGAUAGUCUUAGCUAGUCCCAUGGUUAUUGGGGAGUCUCGCUAAGACUUCUUAGUGAAGGGUUUUGUCCAUGCUAGUCCCCUUUAGUCUUAUUAAUGUUAGUCCCAGCAUGGAACAAACACGAUAUUGGACUAACAGCUAAUCUAGUCCAGUCCAAUCCCACUUAGUGAGGGCAAACAAACGCCCCCUCAGAGAUCAAGUAACAUGACAAAACUUUUUGAUGGUUAUCAAUGAAAAAUUACGAUUUAACGGUUAUUUUAACUUCGAUUUUGAUGAUUUUUUACAGCUACACUCCUUGACCCUAUAUGAAUACAAUGAAUGAACUUGAUCUUCAAUUUAAAAUAUUUACACUAGUGGAUACCACAAAAUCUUAUGUUAUACUUAAUGAAAGUAUGAAUAGACUCUUAAGUGUUAGUGAAUCUAUUGUUUUGAUGAGAUACACAUUCUACGAAACUAAUUUCAAUGAUCCAACCAUCAAACUUGUUUGUAUAUACUUCGAGAUCGCAUACGCUAAAAAUCGUAAAAAAAAAAAAAAAAACAUUCAGAGAUCAAGUAAUGGGAGAAAACUUUUCGACAGUUUUCAACGAAAAAUCACGAUUUAAUGGUUAUUUUAACUCUAAUUUUGAUGAUUUUUUUGUAGCUACACUCCUUGACCCUAUAUGAAUACAAUGAAUGAACUCGAUCUUCAAUUUAAAAUAUUUACACUAGUGAAUACCACAAAAUUUUAUGUUAUACUUAAUGAAAGUAUGAAUAAACUCUUAAGUGUUGGUGAAUGUAUUGUUUUGAUGGGAUACGUAUUCUUCGAAACUAAUUUCAAUUAUCCAACCGUCAAACAUGUUUGUAUAUACUUCGAGAUCGCAUAAGCCCAAAAUUGUAAAAAAACAAACAUUCAGAGAUCAAGUAACGAGAUAAAACUUUUCGACGGUUAUCAACGAAAAAUCACGAUUUAACGGUUAUUUCAACUCCAAUUUUGAUGAUAUUUUUACAGCUACA
rnacentral:lncRNA from 1 species